GACAAUCAGGGAGUAACUAGGACCAUCUUAGAGCAAGCUAAGUGCCUCAGGCGAGAUAACGCAGAGGUGGGGGACAGAGUGGGUGGGGAGGGGAGCCGCCAUACAGUGGCCAGGACCAGCUUUGCCCAAGUGGUGGCAACCGCAUGACCACAGGAACGAUGGCGUGAGCCCCAUGGCAACCUGGAGGAAGGGUGUGCUGGGCAGGGGAGGGCGGUGCAAAGACCCCAAGAAAGAGAGUCUGGCCCAUUGGCCAGCAUGGCUGGAGUGUGGGGACAGGGCAGCAGUGUGCGGGGGAGACUGGAGUCCCAGGAGAGGCCAGGUUGCAGGGCAUUGAGGGCCAGAGGAGGCACCUGGGCCUGUUCCCUUCCCAACCCUCAGGAUGGCCCACCCAUUACCCACAGCUGCACAUGAACGUCCUUUGGCGCUGGCCUCCAGGGUGGGGAAACCAGGCUCCUGCAGAGAGGGGCAGAUCUGAGUGUUCCCCGCCCUCGCCUGGGUGCACUCAGGGUCAGGCCUUGUGCCGGCAGAGUCCAUCCCAUGCCUCAUUACCCCCGGCUGGCUGAGGCCCACCCUGGGCUCCUGGUGGGUGGGGGCACUUCUGUGAGCUCCACCACUGUGUCUGUGAGCCCAACCCCGACCAGCCCCCUCCAGCUUCUGGGGCCUGCAAGGAGGAGGAAGGCCAGGGUAGAGGGAAUGGAGAGAGACUGUUCCAUGCGGAGGGGUGAGCCACCUUCUGCGGUGGAGGCCAGGAGCAAGGAUAUCCUCUGAGCCUGGUCUGGGGCCCCUCCCCCACUUCCCACCUCCCAGCUCUUCCCUCCUAGAGACACCUUCUUUGUCUGCAGAGGCCACUGCUCUGAUUCUGUUGUUGCUAGGUGAUGGGAACUGGGGGGAGCAAAGAGUGGGGAACUGGGCAGGGUCUGGCGGGGCUGUGGUGGGGGGAGCUGAAGCAUGAAGGCUCAUGGAGCACAGACACCUACACACAGCUCUGCAGGCAUGUGGGGACCCAGACCCACCCCCACAGCAGACACCCCCACAGAGCACUCAUGGCCCCCACAGAAAUACACCCACACUCAUCACAGCAAACCAAAACAAUCACACGCCGGUACACAAACACACACACCCCCGCACCAAUCCAGGCAGACACAAAGCUCACGGCGACAGGCAGAUCUGAUUCACACAGACACAGGCACAGGUGCCUCCUGAUGCCACCCUCUCUUGGUCACGUGCCAGCACUUGGAGGGAGGAAAGUGCCUCACCAGGCUGAGAUGCCCAAGGGACCCCCCAGGGAGGGAAAGCAGGACACACAGGGACAGUUGCUUCCAGCCCUGUCCACACCCUUGUGCCCACCAGGUAUGCCGCUCACCCCCACCCCACGUGGACCUUGGUGUCACCUAGGAUUGCAGAGGCCGCCUUCAGCCCAGAGCCUGGGGCCUUGCCCACUGCCUCACCUCCCGGGAUAGGGCAUGCUGGUCCUUUCUCCUUCCCUUUCUUUGCUCUUGUGUGCCUGCCUUUAGCAAACGCCCACUGGGUGUGUGGGUACACUGCGGCCUUUAAAGAGAAGAGAAACACAUGAGGUUCACAGCAGGAGGCCCUGCCUAGGUUCCAAGGGACAUGGAGCAGGGUGGCUGCGUAGAGCUGGGGAGCAUCCCAAGCCUGUGCCAAGGUUCCAAGGACAAAAAGGGCAAGGAGGCCCAGUGCGGGGUGGUGGGGGAGCGGCUAGCCAGGGCCAACAGUGAGCCUCGCGCCUGGGCAGGUGUAGCCUUUAAACGCGGUGGGGGAACCAUGGACAGCAUCUAAGCAGGGGCGUGCCGUGAGUCCUGGGGGUGCAGGGGUGUCUAGAGGGGAAGCUGGGAAGCAGGGGUCACAGCUUUCCGACGGGUGGCUGAGUGUGGGGAAGACAGGAGGGGCAGGUGUGAGAUGUACAGCAGACACAGCUGUGUGCUAGGGCAUGGUGGGCUGUGGUGAGAGAGAGGAGCAGGUCUUCUCCCCCCGUGUUCAGAGCAGAUCCAAACUCUUCUCCCAUUCCUUCCUCCACCGUGCAUCCUCAGCACCCCUCAGCACUGGCCUGUGUGGGCAGUGUGAGCACAGAGAGCAGGAGCUUGCCCUCAGAGGCUUCAGGGGGUCACUUGCACCCAGUGGUAUGGUCAGCAUCAUGUUCGACCAAAGGGAGGAAGGUGGCUGUGACCAGAGCGAGGGGGGGUCCUGAUGCAGCUGGGGAGUCAGGCUCGAGUGCUUGCUGUGCAUGUUCUCUGCCUCUCUUCCUGGGGGGCAGGCGAGUCUCCAGAGCCUGGAGGACAAGUUAGCCUUGCGAAGGAUAGCAGAGGACCCGGCCCAGGGGUCCCCAAAAUGGAGCACCAACCCUCCAUGCAGGCCAAGCCACUGGUGAAUAUGCUGCAAAAAAUAUGCUGGAACUUCUAUGAAUACCACAGGGUGUCAGAAGAAAACAUUAGAACUUCUAUUUUGUACCUGUCUUACUCCACAACGAGAAAGCAAUCAGCUUGAUCAAUGCCUACUGUAAAGACGGCACCGCCCUCUGGAGGUCCUUUCUCAGCCCUGGUGUUCGGACAGCCACAUCCCCUUGCAGCAGGGGGAGGCCUGAAGCAUAGAGGGGCCCACGCAGGUCUAUUCUGUUUCAGCGAAUUGCCUGGGUAAGUGGAUUUGUGGAUUAUAGUCUCUGGUUUUAAUUAAACUAACCCUAACAAAAUGAGCAAGUGGCUUAAGAAGUUUCAUGUGAAGGAAAUGUGUUUUGAAGAUAAUGGAAGCAAGAGCUUAGAACAAGAAAUGGUAACUCGGCACUCUUCUUCACUCCUGGAAGGAGCCACUCACGGUGCACAGUACUAGGUAAAUACAGCGUCUAUGGAAUCGGCCCUGAUGAGGAGUCGGACACAGAAAUUACAACUCACCAAGAAGCCUGCUUGAAAUGUGGUUUACAUCCACGGCCGUGAACACAGGCCCCACCUGGAAGACGCCCCGGGGGAGUAACAGGAGAAAAAGCAAGUGGCAGGACACAGUGUGCUUUAUAUCCCAUUUAUGAGAAAAACAAAAUCGAGUUAUGAUAUGUGUUAACACAUGCACGGGACCUGGAGGCACGCGCAUUACACCAGCUUCUCUUUGAAGGGAGGCCAGCACUGUCACCACUGUGUGUCUCGGCUGAUUUGAGUUAUUACAGUGAUUAUGCAUACAGUUACAGUGAGAGACAUGAUAAGGAAUUUUUAAGCAUCUAGGGUUUUUAAACCUUUUAUUUUGAAAUAAUUUUAGAUUUACUGAAGAACUAAAAGGUGGUGCAGAGAAUUCCUGUCCCGUAUGUUAACACAUCACGUAACCGUGAUACAACUGUCAGAACUAAGGAAUAACUGUUGCUGUGCCACCGUGAACUAGAGUUCAGAUGUCUCCAGCAUUUCCACUGAUGUCCUUUUUCUGUUUCAGGAAAUAAUCCAGGAUCCGUUUCGUGUGGUCAUCUUGUCUCCCUGGUCCCCUCCAGCCUUUCCUCAUCUUUUGUGACCUGGUCACUCUGGAAGGGUGCUGGCCGAAGCAGAAAGUUGAGGCUUAGAAGGUGCACGGCCCUACCUCUUCUGAGGUGCCCCUGCGGGCUGUCUACAGACCAGGCAGCACAUGCCUGAUAGCAGCUGCAUAAGGAAAAGCAGAAGCCAGCUCGUGCACAGUGGCCUCAAGUGUGCACUGGGCAUGUUCUCUGCCUCACCAUCCCUGUGUGACAGAUGAAGGAUCUAUAGGAAAACCCUCCUCUUCUUCUAUAUGCAAAGGCUGCACAGCUCCUGGUUCACCUGCACCUCUCCAGACCACCAUGGUGCCUGCAGCUCUGAGGGCAUUUUAAAUCAUCACAGAACAACAAGCAUAUAAGCAUUAUGAGUGCCUCUGGACCUCUGACGUGCCUUGUGGAGGCCUGCCAGGCCCACGUUUUAAUUUACAUGAACUCGAUGCCCUUUUUGACAGGGAGAGAUCUGCUUCUUUAUUUGUUAGCCUUUGCCCUGGACCUGCUAGAUCUGGACCAUCCCCAGGAAAGGAAGGUCACACCACAAAGAUAAAUAUAAACAAAAUGAGUUAAUUAAGAAGGAGUUAGUCUGAAAUUCAAUAUUCCCAAGAGUCCAAGCCCUUCAGUUCUAAGGGAAUUUUUCUCCCCUGUAAAAUAGAACUGUUGGGUACAGUGAGAUUCCAUUGUAUAUGGUCUCACUUAGAAUUUGUCUCAUUUCACAUAUGCAAACACUGAGGCUCUGUGAGGUGAGAGAUUUGCUGCACUAGGCCCUGAAAGGCACAGCCAGUGAGCAUUCAGCCCAGGGUACAUCUGCUGGCUUCACAGUUGCCCUGCUAUUCUGUGGUCCAAUGUGGCUGCUCUAGCUCCAGUCAUCACAUCUGCAUUCUUGCCAGUGGGAAGGGCAAAGCAUGACCUUUCUUUUUAAGACACGUUUGAAGUUGCAUACAUCAUUUCUGCUCAUGUUUCACUGGCCAGCAUUUAAACGGAUGGGCAUACCUAGCUGCAGGGAAGGCUGUAGUCUUCAUUCUGGGAUGAAGUGUACCCAGCUAAAAGUCUAGGGUUUUAUUUCUAUGAGAGAAAUUGAGCAUGGAUACUGGGGGACAAUGAACCAUUUCCACUUCAUCUUCUAAUAAAUGUGACAAGUGCAAUGCUUAUCAUAUAUUGUGUAUUGAC
rnacentral:lncRNA from 1 species